AUUGAACGCUGGCGGCAUGCUUUACACAUGCAAGUCGAACGGCAGCGCGGGCUUCGGCCUGGCGGCGAGUGGCGAACGGGUGAGUAAUGCAUCGGAACGUGCCCAGGAGUGGGGGAUAGCCCGGCGAAAGCCGGAUUAAUACCGCAUACGACCUGAGGGUGAAAGCGGGGGACCGAAAGGCCUCGCGCUAUUGGAGCGGCCGAUGUCGGAUUAGCUAGUUGGUGGGGUAAAGGCUUACCAAGGCGACGAUCCGUAGCUGGUCUGAGAGGACGACCAGCCACACUGGGACUGAGACACGGCCCAGACUCCUACGGGAGGCAGCAGUGGGGAAUUUUGGACAAUGGGGGCAACCCUGAUCCAGCCAUGCCGCGUGCGGGAAGACGGCCUUCGGGUUGUAAACCGCUUUUGUUCGGGAAGAAAUCCUCUGGGCUAAUACCCCGGGGGGAUGACGGUACCGGAAGAAUAAGCACCGGCUAACUACGUG
rnacentral:rRNA from 1 species